rnacentral:rRNA from 1 species
UACGAAGGGGGCUAGCGUUGCUCGGAAUCACUGGGCGUAAAGCGCACGUAGGCGGAUUGUUAAGUCAGGGGUGAAAUCCUGGAGCUCAACUCCAGAACUGCCUUUGAUACUGGCGAUCUCGAGUCCGGGAGAGGUGAGUGGAACUGCGAGUGUAGAGGUGAAAUUCGUAGAUAUUCGGAAGAACACCAGUGGCGAAGGCGACUUACUGGACACAUAUUGACGCUGAGGUGCGAAAGUGUGGGGAGCAAACAGG